rnacentral:rRNA from 1 species
UACGAAGGGGGCUAGCGUUGUUCGGAAUUACUGGGCGUAAAGAGCACGUAGGCGGAUAUUUAGGUCAGGGGUGAAAUCCCAGAGCUCAACUCUGGAACUGCCUUUGAUACUGGGUAUCUUGAGUAUGGAAGAGGUAAGUGGAAUUCCGAGUGUAGAGGUGAAAUUCGUAGAUAUUCGGAGGAACACCAGUGGCGAAGGCGGCUUACUGGUCCAUUACUGACGCUGAGGUGCGAAAGCGUGGGGAGCAAACAGG